CGGGUUAAGGAUCCCGAGCAGGCUGCAACUGCCGGUCAGGUUCGACCCCUGGCCCAGGAACUUCUACAUGCUGCGAUUGUGGCCAAGCGCUUUUAAAAGGGCUGUCACUCUGGGCAGUUCUAGCUUCUUCCUUCUCCCAAUCUCCUUCUCCCCGAAGCAUCCACCAGAGGACGCAGCUUCCCCCAAACUUUCCACUCUGCUUGGCUAGAGAGACUCAGUCCACGUUUUCCUGCUACUCCGGGCCCGCAGUUAAAUCACUGCAGCCCCAGACUAAGCUGUCCGUUACCAUGGGAACGGAAAGCCAUGACGUCACCAUUGUCUGGGAAAGUGGACGGCUGCCCCCCGCGCGUGUCCGAACUACCACGCCGGCGACCACGCGUGAGCACGCAGAAGGCCCAAACCUCCCACCAUACCCCUCAGAACUUUCCCCGAACUCCUCCUUGCCUCUAUCCCCAAGGAAGUCAAGUCAGUCAAAUAACGAGGCUCAGCCUGUCCCAAACCCGCCGGGGCCCCUCAGAUCACACCCGCACGCUAGAAUCCUGCUCCUGGGCCGCGGUUUCCCUCGGACCCCGCCCCGCUCCUCGGGCCCCGCCCCCCGGCAGCGCGGGCGGGAGGCGGGGCCGGGGGCGCGGCCGCCGG
rnacentral:lncRNA from 1 species